CCCCUUUCAGGAUCAUACCUGGAGAGUUCCUAAUACUCUACCAGUCUUGACUACAGGAGGUAGAGUCUGGCAGAGACAUGUCCAUUCCAUUCCUAGCUUGGGCAGUGGCUAGCUAGUGGAAGGCAAUCUGCUACAAGU